GGUCUGGUGGUCUAGUGGUAUGAUUCUCGCUUAGGGUUAACCCUACAGCAUUGUUUGCGAGAGGUCCCGGGUUCAAUCCCCGGCCAGACCC
rnacentral:tRNA from 1 species